AUCCAAAGUCAAGAUACUGCCGUGGUGUUCCGGACCCUAAGAUCAGGAUCUAUGAUGUUGGAAUGAAGAAGAAAGGAGUUGAUGAGUUUCCCUUCUGUGUUCACCUGGUUAGCUGGGAGAAGGAGAAUGUAUCUAGUGAGGCUCUUGAAGCUGCACGCAUUGCGUGCAACAAGUAUAUGACAAAGUUUGCUGGGAAGGAUGCUUUCCACUUGAGAGUCAGGGUGCAUCCAUUCCAUGUUCUGCGUAUUAAUAAGAUGCUUUCCUGUGCUGGAGCUGAUAGGCUCCAGACCGGGAUGAGAGGUGCCUUUGGGAAACCACAAGGAACAUGUGCCAGAGUGAACAUUGGUCAGGUUCUUCUGUCUGUUCGUUGCAAGGAUAACAAUAGCAACAAUGCACAAGAAGCCUUACGGCGUGCCAAAUUCAAGUUCCCUGGCCGUCAGAAGAUAAUUGUCAGUGGAAAGUGGUAUGUCGGAAACUGCUCAGUUAAAAUUACUAUGCAAACUAAUGCAUCUAUGCUCUAUAACAUUUUUCGGACCCAAUGUCAGACUGUAGGUAUUCGACAAGCAAAACUAUUUUUUUCUAUUGGGAUCACUUGGUAUUGAAAUGCAUAGAUCUAGGUCUGAGUGUUGGAAUUUUCAUUAUAUGUGACAUUUACUUUAGGACUUUGUUUCUCAUUUCCUAUUCUUUGAACUCAUAUGCAACAUAUGCUUUCAUGGAUUCUGACAUCCAAGUACAUAUCAGGGGCUUUACUAAAUUUACCCGAGCCGACUAUAUGAAGUUGAAGACUGAGAACAGAAUCGGCUCAGAUGGUGUCAAUGCCAAGGUAUGUUGCAUUUCUCAGAUUAGCUGGCAAUAGCUAGACUGCAUUGGCUCCUGUGACCUUUGUAACAUUAUCGCCAUUUGUAGUUCUCUUUGGUCAGACAUGCCAACUGACACACCAAUCACAUUUUGUGUUGUUUGUCUAUAUAACUCAUUUGCCAAACUUAUUUGUCUCAUGCAUUUGUCGUUCCUCCACGACCAUAUGAAAUAUGAAGUAUAAUUGCUUAAGGUAUAGUUAACUAUCGAGCAGAAAUCAAUUUCUCUUAAUGUCCUUGUGUAUCUUGGACUGAGGCUUCAGGCUGGUUUUUGUUUGGUCCUUGUUGAAAGUGGGUUCAAGAUUGAUUCUCUAGUGAGUUGGUCUGAGACAACAAAUGCGGUUUGCAACUUUCAUCUGGAUCGGCAAAAGUUGGCUGGCUGGGUGGUCUGACAUCUGUUCGACAUCAAACCCAUUUUGACAAUUGAUAACACUGGCUGGACAUGUGUAUAAUUUUGUGUGUGUUACCUUUGAAUGUCAUUCUCCUUUGGACUUGCAUAAUAUUGGAGAAAGAUUUUUGUGCGUUGGGCAAAAUUUAUUCAUGAUAUGUUUUAUCCGAAAUAAUGUUUGCAUUGAUCUCUGGUGAUGCAGCUACUCGGAUGGCAUGGGCCGCUUGCUCGCCGGCAACCUGGAAGAGCUUUCUUACCUCCUGCAGCAGCUGCAGAAGCUUCUUAGAUUGUCAGCGCCUCUUAGCUUAUAUACUGUGUGUGCUUAAUAUGAAGGAUGCUUGCGUGAGAGUGUAGGUCUAUAUGGAGAGUAUGUUUCGUUCAGCUGGUUU
rnacentral:lncRNA from 1 species